rnacentral:rRNA from 1 species
UCCGUAGGUGAACCUGCGGAAGGAUCAUUAUCGAGUUUUGACUGGGUUGUAGCUGGCCUUCCGAGGCAUGUGCACGCCCUGCUCAUCCACUUUACACCUGUGCACUUACUGUGGGCUUCAGAUCGUAAAACGGGUCCCUUUACCGGGCUUGCGGAGCGUGUCUGUGCCUGCGUUUAUCACAAACUCUAUAAAGUAUCAGAAUGUGUAUUGCGAUGUAACGCAUCUAUAUACAACUUUCAGCAACGGAUCUCUUGGCUCUCGCAUCGAUGAAGAACGCAGCGAAAUGCGAUAAGUAAUGUGAAUUGCAGAAUUCAGUGAAUCAUCGAAUCUUUGAACGCACCUUGCGCUCCUUGGUAUUCCGAGGAGCAUGCCUGUUUGAGUGUCAUGAAAUCUUCAACCUGCAAGCUUUUGUGGUUUGUAGGCUUGGACUUGGAGGCUUGUCGGCCGUUGUUGGUCGGCUCCUCUUAAAUGCAUUAGCUUGGUUCCUUGCGGAUCGGCUCUCAGUGUGAUAAUGUCUACGCUGCGACCGUGAAGUGUUUGGCGAGCUUCUAACCGUCUCAGUUGGAGACAACUUUAUGAACCUCUGACCUCAAAAUCAGGUAAGGACUACCCGCUGAAACUUUAAGCAUAUCAAUAAGCGGAGGA